rnacentral:rRNA from 1 species
AUUCCCGGUGUAGCGGUGAAAUGCGUAGAUAUCGGGAAGAACACCAGUGGCGAAGGCGCUCUGCUGGGCCAUCACUGACGCUCAUGGACGAAAGCCAGGGGAGCGAAAGGGAUUAGAUACCCCUGUAGUCCUGGCCGUAAACGAUGAACACUAGGUGUCGGGGGAAUCGACCCCCUCGGUGUCGUAGCCAACGCGUUAAGUGUUCCGCCUGGGGAGUACGCACGCAAGUGUGAAACUCAAAGGAAUUGACGGGGGCCCGCACAAGCGGUGGAGUAUGUGGUUUAAUUCGAUGCAACGCGAAGAACCUUACCAGGGUUUGACAUCCUGCGAAUCUCUUGGAAACGAGAGAGUGCCUUCGGGAACGCAGUGACAGGUGGUGCAUGGCUGUCGUCAGCUCGUGUCGUGAGAUGUUGGGUUAAGUCCCGCAACGAGCGCAACCCACGUCUUUAGUUGCCAGCAUUUAGUUGGGCACUCUAGAGAGACCGCCGGUGAUAAACCGGAGGAAGGUGUGGAUGACGUCAAGUCAUCAUGCCCCUUACAUCCUGGGCUACACACGUACUACAAUGCUACGGACAAAGGGCAGCAAGUUCGCGAGGACAAGCAAAUCCCAUAAACCGUGGCUCAGUUCAGAUCGUAGGCUGCAACUCGCCUACGUGAAGGAGGAAUCGCUAGUAAUCGCAGGUCAGCAUACUGCGGUGAAUACGUUCCCGGCCCUUGCACACACCGCCCG